AUUGAACGCUGGCGGCAGGCCUAACACAUGCAAGUCGAGCGAGCGGCGGACGGGUGAGUAAUGUAUGGGGACUGCCCGAUAGAGGGGGAUAACUACUGGAAACGGUGGCUAAUACCGCAUACUAUCGGAUAACCCAUAUGGGAUUAGCUAGUAGGUGGGGUAAAGGCUCACCUAGGCGACGAUCUCUAGCUGGUCUGAGAGGAUGAUCAGCCACACUGGGACUGGGACACGGCCCAGACUCCUACGGAGGCAGCAGUGGGGAAUAUUCGACAAUGGACGAAAGUCUGACCGAGCAAUGCCGCGUGUGUGAAGAAGGUUUUCGGGUCGUAAAGCUCUUUCGUUAGGGAGGCGGUAUCUAACCAGAAAGCCACGGCUAACUACGUGCCAGCAGCCGCGGUAAUUC
rnacentral:rRNA from 1 species